rnacentral:rRNA from 1 species
GUUCGGAUUGCAGCCUGCAACUCGGCUGCAUGAAGCUGGAAUCGCUAGUAAUCGCGGAUCAGAAUGCCGCGGUGAAUACGUUCCCGGGUCUUGUACACACCGCCCGUCACACCAUGGGAGCCGGAAACGCCCGAAGCCAGCGGCCCAACCGCAAGGGGGGAGCUGUCGAAGGCGGGUCCGGUGACCGAGGUGAAGUCGUAACAAGGUACC